rnacentral:rRNA from 1 species
UGGGGAAUAUUGGACAAUGGGCGAAAGCCUGAUCCAGCCAUGCCGCAUGAGUGAAGAAGGCCUUUGGGUUGUAAAGCUCUUUUAGUGAGGAAGAUAAUGACGGUACUCACAGAAGAAGUCCUGGCUAACUCCGUGCCAGCAGCCGCGGUAAUACGGAGAGGGCUAGCGUUAUUCGGAAUUAUUGGGUGUAAAGGGCGCGUAGGCUGGUUAAUAAGUUAAAAGUGAAAUCCCGAGGCUUAACCUUGGAAUUGCUUUUAAAACUAUUAAUCUAGAGAUUGAAAGAGGAUAGAGGAAUUCCUGAUGUAGAGGUAAAAUUCGUAAAUAUUAGGAGGAACACCGGUGGCGAAGGCGUCUAUCUGGUUCAAAUCUGACGCUGAAGCGCGAAGGCGUGGGGAGCAAACA